AAAGCAACUCAAAGAUACAGUAUGUUUUGUUUUCUUUCUUCUUUUUCUCUAUUUCUUUUUCGUCUCUUUUCUCUCUCUUUUUUGGUGCAGCUUUUUUAGCACCUUUCUGCCUUUUCUAUUUUUCUAAUAUUUUUUCGAUUUUUUCACCAGACCUAACCAAGGACCAAAAUGCAAAUGCAAAGUUACAGGGACUGAAAUGUGAAUAUCAAAAAUUAUAGGUAUCUAAAUGUAAAUUUUCACCCAAAAAUUUGAUCUGUACAAAAAAUAGAAUCCUGACGACACAACGAUUCCAUUUUUUCAAACGGAUCUCAAUUCCGACAACAAAUAAAUGUUUUUUUUCCAAAUUUGUAUGAUACAUGUUGAA
rnacentral:lncRNA from 1 species